UACGUAGGGUGCGAGCGUUAAUCGGAAUUACUGGGCGUAAAGCGUGCGCAGGCGGUUUUGUAAGUCAGAUGUGAAAUCCCCGGGCUUAACCUGGGAACUGCGUUUGAAACUACAAGGCUAGAGUGUGGCAGAGGGGGGUGGAAUUCCACGUGUAGCAGGUGAAAUGCGUAGAGAGUGUGGAGGAACACCGAUGGCGAAGGCAGCCCCCUGGGUUAACACUGACGCUCAGGCACGAAAGCGUGGGGAGCAAACAG
rnacentral:rRNA from 1 species